UACGGAGGGUGCAAGCGUUGUCCGGAAUCAUUGGGCGUAAAGGGCGUGUAGGCGGCUCAUGAAGGCUGUGGUGAAAUCCCCGGGCUCAACCUGGGAAUGGCAAUGGAUACUGGGCAGCUAGAGUGUGGCAGAGGAUGGUGGAAUUCCCGGUGUAGCGGUGAAAUGCGUAGAGAUCGGGAGGAACAUCAGUGGCGAAGGCGGCCAUCUGGGGCAACACUGACGCUGAAGCACGAAAGCGUGGGGAGCAAACAGG
rnacentral:rRNA from 1 species